rnacentral:rRNA from 1 species
AAAGCUGUUGUAUGGGAAGAACAGUAGAAUAGGAAAUGAUUUUAGUUUGACGGUACCCCAGAAAGGGACGGCUAAAUACGUGCCAGCAGCCGCGGUAAUACGUAUGUCCCGAGCGUUAUCCGGAUUAUUGGGCGUAAAGCGAGCGCAGACGGUUUAUUAAGUCUGAUGUGAAAGCCCGGAGCUCAACUCCGGAAUGGCAUUGGAAACUGGUUAACUUGAGUGCAGUAGAGGUAAGUGGAACUCCAUGUGUAGCGGUGGAAUGCGUAGAUAUAUGGAAGAACACCAGUGGCGAAGGCGGCUUACUGGACUGCAACUGACGUUGAGGCUCGAAAGUGUGGGUAGCAAACAGGAUUAGAUACCCUGGUAGUCCACACCGUAAACGAUGAACACUAGGUGUUAGGAGGUUUCCGCCUCUUAGUGCCGAAGCUAACGCAUUAAGUGUUCCGCCUGGGGAGUACGACCGCAAGGUUGAAACUCAAAGGAAUUGACGGGGACCCGCACAAGCGGUGGAGCAUGUGGUUUAAUUCGAAGCAACGCGAAGAACCUUACCAGGUCUUGACAUCCUUUGAAGCUUUUAGAGAUAGAAGUGUUCUCUUCGGAGACAAAGUGACAGGUGGUGCAUGGUCGUCGUCAGCUCGUGUCGUGAGAUGUUGGGUUAAGUCCCGCAACGAGCGCAACCCUUAUUGUUAGUUGCCAGCAUUCAGAUGGGCACUCUAGCGAGACUGCCGGUGACAAACCGGAGGAAGGCGGGGACGACGUCAGAUCAUCAUGCCCCUUAUGACCUGGGCUACACACGUGCUACAAUGGCGUAUACAACGAGUUGCCAACCCGCGAGGGUGAGCUAAUCUCUUAAAGUACGUCUCAGUUCGGAUUGUAGUCUGCAACUCGACUACAUGAAGUCGGAAUCGCUAGUAAUCGCGGAUCAGCACGCCGCGGUGAAUACGUUCCCGGGUCUUGUACACACCGCCCGUCACACCAUGGGAGUUUGUAAUGCCCAAAGCCGGUGGCCUAACCUUUUAGGAAGGAGCCGUCUAAGGCAGGACAGAUGAUGGGGA